ACCCCGUAUUGUUAUGUCCAGCAAAAGUAAAAACACUAUAAAAGUUUAUGAUUACGCUUUUAAAAAAUUUAACAUUUGGUGUACAAAUUAUGACUUGUGUGCGUUACCAUCGUCAGUUGCUAACAUUGCACUUUAUUUAUCAUAUUUAAUUCAGCUGGAAGUAUCUUCUUCAGUGUUACAAAAUGCUUAUUACGCAAUUAAAUGG
rnacentral:lncRNA from 1 species